AUACCAUUGCCUGGUCAAACUCGGAAGGUGUAUUUGCAUCAAGUGAUGGUGGAAAUAGUUUUGUAAAAGUUUCUUGGCCAUUUUCUCAGYCUAUGUUAAUCCUCGAAGUGGUGUUUCAUCCUUUCUACCAAAGCUACUUCUUCCUUGUGCAUGACUCGAAUGACUCGAAA